GCCUAAAGCGUCCGUAGCCUGUUCUAUAAGUUUCCGGUUAAAUCCACUAGCUCAACUAAUGGGCUGCCGAAAAUACUGUAGAACUAGGGAGUGGGAGAGGUAGACGGUAUUCGGUAGGAAGGGGUAAAAUCCUUUGAUCUAUUGAGGACCACCUGUGGCGAAGGCGGUCUACCAGAACACGUUCGACGGUGAGGGAUGAAAGCUGGGGGAGCAAACCGGAUUAGAUACCCGGGUAGUCCCAGCUGUAAACGAUGCAGACUCGGUGAUGCGCUGGCUUGUGGCCAGUGCAGUGCCGCAGGGAAGCCGUUAAGUUUGCCGCCUGGGAAGUACGUACGCAAGUAUGAAACUUAAAGGAAUUGGCGGGGGAGCACCACAAGGGGUGAAGCCUGCGGUUCAAUUGGAGUCAACGCCAGAAAUCUUACCCGAAGAGACAGCAGAAUGAAGGUCAAGCUGGAGACUUUACCAGACAAGCUGAGAAGUGGUGCAUGGCCGUCGCCAGCUCGUGCCGUGAGAUGUCCUGUUAAGUCAGGUAACGAGCGAGAUCCCUGCCUCUAGUUGCCACCAUUACUCUCAGGAGUAGUGGGGCGAAUUAGCGGGACCGCCGCAGUUAAUGCGGAGGAAGGAAGGGGCCACGGCAGGUCAGUAUGCCCCGAA
rnacentral:rRNA from 1 species